rnacentral:misc_RNA from 1 species
GCAAAAUUUGAUACUGAGGCUGCUCUCUCUCUAUUCCAGCUUCGAUACGUCUGCAUGCAUGCUUCCUUGUGCACAGACAAACACAUAAAGCUACACGGUGCUUUUGGUUGCAGCGUUUGGCCGUAUAUUUACACGCGUAGCAUAGCCGUCCCCCCCCCCGUAGCAACCACGAAAAUGAACUACAUUCCGAACACAGAUGGGUUGAUGCGCUCAACGUUGCGCGACACCAUCCGUCGCCUUCACCGUGUGCGUGCGAUGGCUGGGGCCAAGGAUGAGAAAGAGAGUCGAGACAUAUCCGGCGACCCCUUCCAGGACUUGACGAAUGACUUCGUUAGAGCCGCCACACGGGCCAAGAACAACAUCAACGAGCGCAACGAGGGCUGCCGUCAGCACGGACAGGACCAUAUGGCCAUUGUGCAGUCCAACGAGAUUCGCAAGGACCUCCGACUCAUGGAGGAAACACUAGAAGAGAUUCACAAGUUAGUGCUCGAGGCGGAGCGCCGGCUAGCAAAAGAGAACAAGAAGAAGAAACCCAAGGAAAACAAGGUCCAUCUACUUGAGCGUGACUACGAGGGGCGAAGAUCGCAGUACGACAACUGCGUCUCCGCGCUGCAGAACCUCAAGGAGAUGGAGGCUCAGCGCGUUGAGGUGGGACGUGAAGAAAUCAACACUGUGCAGGAGAUGCAGCUUGGCAAGCGCGCUCAGCUACGCCAGCAGCUGCUCGGCAUGCGGCGGAAGGAUAACGGCAACGGCGAGACGGUGGGGCCAGGCGAUGUCGAGUUGGUGGACAACACCUUAGGUGGUGGCAUGCUCCAGGAACACGAGGAGUCCAAAGAGCAGAUGAAGACGAUCGCCGCUCAGGACGCAAACAUCGACGCAGGGUUAUGUCGCAUUAAGGAGGGCGUUGGCCGAUUGCAUGACUUGGCCGUUCAAAUCGGCGCGCAGAUUGACAUGCAGAACGCGAUGCUGGAUGAAACAGAGCAGGUGAUUGACAAGAACGCCGAGCAGCUGCGGGGCCUGAACAGGCGCCUCAAAAAAUUUUUGAAGGAGACCCGCCCGAUGAACUGUUUCUUGUACGUUUGCUGCGUCUUCCUCAUCAUCGCCCUGAUCGGCUUCUUUCUUGUGCAGUUCAACGUCAUCUGAAGGGGAUGCGGUACGCGUGUCUAGCAAUUCUUCUACCUCGCUCUGCACCGUAACGAGCACCUGGGGUCGGAUGUGGGGGCCCACGAUAAUCUCCUCCCUGCUGUUACCCCUUCAUUGCUUUGCUUUCCACCUCAACUGUGAUCCUCCUCCUUGCCAGCGCAGCUGGCCAUACCGCGUUGCUGCUAUGCUGCUUUGCCCGCCCUGUUUUUGUGCCUUGAACUUUUGUCUUGUCUCCUAUUUGCGCUGUGGAUAGGUUCGAGGGUUCCUCUCAUGACGAGGCAG